CAGCAAGGUGUUUGAUACUGUCUCCCACAACAUCCUUGAAGAAACAUUUAAAAGAUGCUGACUCUUAAACCACUGAUGGCCAUGCUUAAUAAGAAAUACUUCAAUAGCAGAUGGUGGGAUGAACAACAAGUAUAAAAACAAUGACUAAUAAUUUAACCUUUGAGGAACUGACAACUUCCAAAUGAAAACACAUUUCACUGCAGAAGUACACAGGUCAUCACAGCAGCUUCCUUCUCAGACAAUGGAGCAGCUGUUUGACACACUCUGACUGCUCACCUUGGCCAGAAUUGGGAAUCACAAUCCAAGCUGAAACAGGAGAAUGCUCCUCUCAGCAGCUGUUAGCACUUGCAAAACAAACUGAAACUGGAUCAGUCUUGGGCAAGGCCAAGGAAGUCCAGAGAUCUGCACUACUAAAUCAACACAGAGCCCAUGGCAUUUGGCAUUUGGCUAGUGAUGACAAAAUCAUAUCCUGUGGAUCACACGAGGCGCUUUGUAAUUAAUAUA